CUGGUAAUGUGAUGACACCUCUGUGGGAGGAGCUGGACAGACUGCAGAUACCUUAGCCACCAUUAAAGAAGGAGAGAACGCUCAGCUGCUUGGUCGAAUGGGGACAGAAGCUGAGAGUGGGUUGGCUGCUCUGUACCUGGCUGCUGAUGCUACGUUCUGCACUGGGAUAGACCUGCUGCUUAGUGGAGGGGCAGAACUCAACUACGGCUACAAGAGCCAGGUCCCAUGAGCAGGCCUGUCACUCCGGGCCUUGUGCCUACCUGACCAAUAACAGGACCUGUUAUGUUCUAUUGCCAUCCUGCUUGUGAUUGAACCAAUCACCCUGUCUUAUCCAUAGCCACGGGAUGUAGAGGUGCUGGAGAUGGUACAGCACCCCCUGAUGGUGAGAUGGUAAAGCUGCAAUUUGUGUUGUUGCAAUAAAAACGAUGAAACUA